rnacentral:sRNA from 1 species
UUGACAGCUUUGGAGACAGAAAUGCUCUGUUUAUCCACAGAAGGGAUACAGCUUGGGCAGCAGCAGUGCAAGCUUUCCCUACCUUGCUCCAUCCGUGUGCCUUUGCCAUCUCAAUGGAUGAGGGUAGUUCAGUGUCGAAUGCUGACUCGGUCAUUGGCUACU